UGGGGAAUAUUGGACAAUGGGCGCAAGCCUGAUCCAGCCAUGCCGCGUGGAUGAUGAAGGCCCUAGGGUUGUAAAGUCCUUUCGACGGGGAAGAUAAUGACGGUACCCGUAGAAGAAGCCCCGGCUAACUUCGUGCCAGCAGCCGCGGUAAUACGAAGGGGGCUAGCGUUGCUCGGAAUCACUGGGCGUAAAGCGCACGUAGGCGGACUCUUAAGUCAGGGGUGAAAUCCUGGAGCUCAACUCCAGAACUGCCUUUGAUACUGAGAGCCUUGAGUUCGGGAGAGGUGAGUGGAACUGCGAGUGUAGAGGUGAAAUUCGUAGAUAUUCGCAAGAACACCAGUGGCGAAGGCGGCUCACUGGCCCGAUACUGACGCUGAGGUGCGAAAGCGUGGGGAGCAAACAGG
rnacentral:rRNA from 1 species